rnacentral:rRNA from 1 species
CAGUAGCCGCGGUAAUACGUAUGGGGCGAGCGUUGUCCGGAAUUAUUGGGCGUAAAGGGUACGUAGGCGGUUUUUUAAGUCAGGUGUGAAAGCGUGAGGCUUAACCUCAUUAAGCACUUGAAACUGGAAGACUUGAGAGAAGGAGAGGAAAGUGGAAUUCCUAGUGUAGCGGUGAAAUGCGUAGAUAUUAGGAGGAAUACCGGUGGCGAAGGCGACUUUCUGGACUUUUACUGACGCUCAGGUACGAAAGCGUGGGGAGCAAACAGGAUUAGAUACCCCUGUAGUCCCUGUCUCUUAUACA